rnacentral:tRNA from 1 species
CCAACCAUAGCUCAGUUGGUAGAGCGGAGGACUGUAGAGUGAACGUAGAGAUCCUUAGGUCGCUGGUUCGAAUCCGGCUGGUUGGA